rnacentral:rRNA from 1 species
GACAGAGGGUGCAAACGUUGUUCGGAAUUACUGGGCGUAAAGCGAGUGUAGGCGGUCCGCUAAGUCGGGUGUGAAAGCCCUGGGCUCAACCCAGGAAGUGCACUCGAAACUGCCGGGCUAGAGUAUCGGAGAGGUUGGUGGAAUUCUCGGUGUAGAGGUGAAAUUCGUAGAUAUCGAGAGGAACACCGGUGGCGAAGGCGGCCAACUGGACGAAUACUGACGCUGAGACUCGAAAGCGUGGGGAGCAAACAGG